rnacentral:rRNA from 1 species
UACGUAGGGUGCAAGCGUUGUCCGGAAUUAUUGGGCGUAAAGAGCUUGUAGGCGGUUUGUCGCGUCUGCUGUGAAAUUUCGGGGCUCAACCCCGAACUUGCAGUGGGUACGGGCAGACUAGAGUGUGGUAGGGGAGACUGGAAUUCCUGGUGUAGCGGUGGAAUGCGCAGAUAUCAGGAAGAACACCCGUGGCGAAAGCGGCUCUCUGGAACGGUACUGACGCUGAGACGCGAAAGCGUGGGGAGCGAACAGG